AGCGGUCAAAGGUGUCUUCUGGAAGUGUAUCGAUGUCCAAAACAUAACUUAUUACUAUCAAAUAUAUGAGUUACAAUUGUGUUGAUGUCUAAACUAAUAACCUUUUGUGACUGCAGGAGCACCACCUCUAGGCAGUGAUAUCCACGACUAAAGCUAAGAGCUAAGAUUCCCUUGAUCUACAAGCCUGAUUUCAUUAGUAACAAGGUACAAUUACUUCAUAUAUGGAUAAUCAUUCCAAGAAAUGAAUAAGCAGUUACUUUAAUGAUAAGCUCAAUGACUAGUGGAAUGCGGAAGACAAUUUAAACAACUUCACCAUAAUACUUUACUAUGAGAUCCCACUUUUCCGUGACUGUGUUAGUAACUGCUGGAACACGUGGAAGCAAAAUGAGGAAAGAUGAAUGCCCCAUUUGGCUACAACAGGCUCAAAGUAGUUGCAUGUAAACCUAUUUGAUUUGCUUCUCACUCUUUUUACAAAUAAGAUUUAAAGCAUUGAUUGCAAUGGUCAUAUUAGUUUGUCCAUACACAUGAAAAUUAGGCAUUCCGAAUGACUUAUUCCUCUAAUAUUUCCAGUACAACAACUAGCCACUCAAUCUAAAAAGAACUUCGGUGAAAAGGGCCCAUUUACACAUCUGUCGGAAGAAAUGGGUAGUCAGUAUAUCCAAUAACUGGAUCAGGGAGGUAAAAUGUCUCUCUGUUGUACUUGUUAAGCGGAGCAUCUAUUUCGAACCUUCGAGGCAAAUCAGGAUUAGACAAAAAUAUGCGUCCAUAUGCAACCAAAUCAGCAUACCCAGUGGAGAUUGCAUUAUUUCCAUCCUCCCUAUUGUAGCCUCCAGCAACAAUAAAUGUUCCUUUGAAAGCAUCUCUCAUUGGACGAAGACUGUAGGGUGUUUCAAAUUUUUCACCAAGUUUUACCAUCCGUGGCUCCACCACGUGGCAAUAAAGGAUUCCAAAUUUAUUCAGUGCAUUUGCCAUAUACAGGCCUAGAGCUUCUGGGUUUGAGUCUGGUGCUUCUGAAUAACUGGCAAAAGGUGACAGCCUUAUCCCAACCUUGUCAGCUCCAAUUUCAUCAACUACAGCUUGAACUACUUCUAACGCAAACCGGCAACGGUUCUCUAAGCUGCCACC
rnacentral:lncRNA from 1 species